GACGAACGCUGGCGGCGUGCUUAACACAUGCAAGUCGAACGGAAAGGCCCUGCUUGCCGGGUACUCGAGUGGCGAACGGGUGAGUAACACGUGGGUGAUCUGCCCUGCACUUCGGGAUAAGCCUGGGAAACUGGGUCUAAUACCGGACAGGAGCCAUUUUUAGUGUGAUGGUUGGAAAGUUUUUUCGGUGUAGGAUGAGCUCGCGGCCUAUCAGCUUGUUGGUGGGGUAAUGGCCUACCAAGGCGGCGACGGGUAGCCGGCCUGAGAGGGUGGACGGCCACAUUGGGACUGAGAUACGGCCCAGACUCCUACGGGAGGCAGCAGUGGGGAAUAUUGCACAAUGGGCGCAAGCCUGAUGCAGCGACGCCGCGUGGGGGAUGACGGCCUUCGGGUUGUAAACUCCUUUCGCUAGGGACGAAGCUUUUUGUGACGGUACCUAGAUAAGAAGCACCGGCUAACUACGUG
rnacentral:rRNA from 1 species